rnacentral:lncRNA from 10 species
UUUUGCCACGUUGGCCAGGCUGGUCUCGAACUCCUGACCUUGUGAUCCGCCCGUCUCGGCCUCCCAAAGUGCUGGGAUUACAGGCGUGAGCCACCGCGCCUGGCGGACAUUGGGAUUUAAGAUUUCAAGGCAGGAUUAGGCUGAGGUCCUCGGGUGGCCGUGUGACCUCUGCACACCCAGAAGCGCCUUCCUCCCUGCGCCUGCGCCAGGUCCAGCUUUGGGCUCCUGGGGUCUCAGCCAGUGCGCGGUCUUCCUGCCUCAGCUCCACGGGGAGCUCUUGGACGCUCCGCAGCGCUUUCGCAGAGUCCCCAGUUCUCCCGUCCCGCCGGGACUCCAGGAAGGGAAAGAGAGGCGUGGAAUUGGCAGAGCCCUGGCAGCGUGAUGAGGAAACAGACCCCAUUCUGCAGUAAUUAGAAAACGUCAUGAUACAAUGCCACGUGAAGCACACACCAGCACCUGGCAAAACGCUCAACCUGGAUCAAAUUACUGGGAAACAUCAGAUGGGUCCAGAUUACGCAGGACACUCUCCAUGACGACUGGCCUGGAAUCCUCAAAAACAGCAAUGCUGUGAAAGACAUAAAUAAAACAGAAAAAAAGCCUUGAGGAAUGAAUUAAGGGGCUGGAAAAGUGGGACCAGGACGGC